rnacentral:lncRNA from 1 species
AUUGAUUGAUGAAUUGAGUGUCUUUCUUUUGAUUGAUGAAUUGAGUGUUUUUUUAUUUUUUUAUUGAUGAAUUGAGUGUCCUUUCCUUCCUUGCCUACUUCUGCUUUUAUAAGAGACCCUCUUGGGGAGGUGGUUUUCUUUUUAAUUUUAAUAAUGGGCGGUAAAAAGAUCUCCUAUAAUGUAACGUAAAAGGGAUUUUUAUCAAUCAUGGCAGAUAGGCUCUCAGUAGUCACCUCCUAAAGCAGUCCCUUCCCUGGUUUCCUGGGUGGCAGCUUUCUAUUUCAACCAACGCCACCGUCUGUGUGGGCUUUUUAUGGCGGUUGGUUUUUCUUUUGUAUUUUCUGAACAGCUCCCUGUUUCCCGUUCUAAUUUAGAAAGCGUGACCCGUGAAUUCCUCGGAAGAUGGUGUAUUGCUCUGGAGCAAAAUCUCCGACUAUAGAUGGGUUUUGAUCUUCUGCUGGCAGUGUUUCAGAGAUGUCCCUCUCAUAUUUUAACUUAGUUGAAAUUGCUGACUUUUCAAAGCUGAGGCAAUCACGUGGGUGUGUUUUUAAUUCCCUUGGGUUUGCAACCAACAAAAUUUAUGGGCUGAUCCUUGAAGCCCAAAUGACAGUUUGGUCUUUCUUGGGCUGGGGGCUUUGUUUUCGACAUCCUGGCGUGAAGCCCAAUCUAUCUAGAUCCUAAUUUUGUUAUCCUCAAGUUUU